CCUACGGGUGGCAGCAGUAGGGAAUCUUCCACAAUGGACGAAAGUCUGAUGGAGCAACGCCGCGUGAGUGAAGAAGGGUUUCGGCUCGUAAAGCCCUGUUGGUCGUGAAGAAAGAUAGAGUUAGUAACUCGCCUCUAUUUGACGGUAAUUACUUAGAAAGUCACGGCUAACUACGUGCCAGCAGCCGCGGUAAUACGUAGGUCGCAAGCGUUGUCCGGAUUUAUUUGGCGGAAAGCGAGUGCAGGCAGUUCAAUAAGUCUGAUGGGAAAGCCUUCGGCUCAACCGGAGAAUUGCAUCAGAAACUGUUGAACUUGAGUGCAGAAGAGGAGAGUGGAACGCCAGGUGUAGCGGUGGAAUGCGUAGAUAUAUGGAAGAACACCAGUGGCGAAGGCGGCUCUCUGGUCUGCAACUGACGCUGAGGCUCGAAAGCAUGGGUAGCGAACAGGAUUAGAUACCCCAGUAGUC
rnacentral:rRNA from 1 species